rnacentral:rRNA from 1 species
UACGUAGGGUGCGAGCGUUGUCCGGAAUUAUUGGGCGUAAAGAGCUUGUAGGCGGUUUGUCGCGUCUGCCGUGAAAGCCCAGGGCUUAACCCUGGGUCUGCGGUGGGUACGGGCAGACUAGAGUGUGGUAGGGGAGACUGGAAUUCCUGGUGUAGCGGUGAAAUGCGCAGAUAUCAGGAGGAACACCGGUGGCGAAGGCGGGUCUCUGGAACGUUUCUGACACUGAGGCUCGAAAGCGUGGGGAGCAAACAGG